rnacentral:rRNA from 1 species
CCCUUAGAUGUUCUGGGCUGCACGCGCGCUACACUGAUACUUUCAGCGAGUCCACCACCUUGCCUGGGAAGGUGGGGUAACCUCUGGAAAGUGCAUCGUGAUGGGGAUCGAUUAUUGUAAUUAUUAAUCUUCAACGAGGAAUUCCUAGUAAGCAUGUGUCAUCAGCCCGUGCUGAUUACGUCCCUGCCCUUUGUACACACCGCCCGUCGCUCCUACCGAUUGGAUGGUCCGGUGAAGCCUCGGGAUUGUGGUUCUUGCCGCUUUAUUGUGGCGUGACCGCGAGAACUUGUCUAAACCUUAUCAUCUAGAGGAAGGUGAAGUCGUAACA